CAAUCAGGCCUUACAGGCAUCCUCUCCCAAACUUCAAACGGGCCGGUCUUCGGAUCGGCCCUUUUUUUUGUCCGCG
rnacentral:sRNA from 1 species